UCGAUUUUCAUCGAUGAUCGAUCAAACCCACAACGUCACCCAAUGACACUUCACUUACUCAGAAUUCGUGACAACAUAAAAAUUCAUAAUUUUUGACCAAUUCAUCAGUGAAAUAAUUAAAAUUAUUUAUUUACCCCACAUCUGGUGCACAUAUUUCACCGUCAACGUCACCGGAAGAUGUGACAGGAGAAUGGAAAAUAUUUAAUUACUUCCUGCAACAGGGAUUCAACUGUUACCGAGAAUAAAACAUAAAUGUCCAGGAUAUUCUGAUGUGGUGCCCUUUGAUCCUCGAGACAACUGUCAUUCCAGGGAUUAUUGGAGACCUCUGAUUGCCGGGAGAAGGGGAGACAGGUUGUACAUCAUAUAGUGGACCAUUGGCGAGAGCACGCGCCGUUCGUUACAGCAGAAUGGAAUAUAUCAAAUCCCCAGGACUACCUAGAUUUCAUGAAAAACGAGGGUGUCUAUGCAAGUGAACUAGAGUGCACUGUU